rnacentral:rRNA from 1 species
GAAUAUAGGGGGACCACCCUCUAAGCCUAAAUACUCUUCAGUGACCGAUAGUGAACUAGUACCGUGAGGGAAAGGUGAAAAGAACCCCUAUUAGGGGAGUGAAAUAGAACCUGAAACUGCAUGCCUACAAUCAGUCCGAGCCCUUUUUAGGGUGAGGGCGUACCUUUUGUAUAAUGGGUCAGUGACUUAAUUUAUUAAGCAAGCUUAAGCCAUCUAGGUGUAGGCGCAGCGAAAGCAAGUCUUAAUAGGGCGAUUAGUUUAAUGAAUUAGACCCGAAAACGAAUGAGCUUACCAUGAGCAGGUUGAAAGUUGGGUAACACCAACCGGAGGACCGAACCAGUUGACGUUGAAAAGUCUUUGGAUGACUUGUGGUAAGGGGUGAAAGGCCAACCAAAUUCGUAGAUAGCUGGUUUUCCGCGAAAACUAUUUAGGUAGUGCGUCGAAUAAAUAGAUGUUUAGAGGUAGAGCACUAAAUGGGCUAGGGGGAAGAGAUUCUUACCAAACCUAAUAAAACUCCGAAUGCUAGACAUUGUUCUUCGGCAGACAGACUGUGGGUGCUAAGGUCCAUGGUCGAGAGGGAAAGAGCCCAGACCACCAGAUAAGGUCCCAAAAUCAUGAUUAAGUGUGAAAGGAUGUGGAAAUUCCUUAACAGCCGGGAGGUUGGCUUAGAAGCAGCCAUCCUUUAAAGAUAGCGUAACAGCUCACCGGUCUAAUAGAGUUUCUGCGCCGAAGAUGUAACGGGGCUAAAAUCAUGUACCGAAUCUGUGGCUUUGCAAAGUUUUCGAACUUUGUAAGGGGUAGCGGAACGUUCUGUAAGCCUGCGAAGGGAUACCCGUGAGGGAUCCUGGAGGUAUCAGAAGUGCGAAUGCUGACAUAAGUAACGAUAAACGAAGUGAAAAACUUCGUCGCCGAAAAUCUAAGGGUUUCUAUGCAAGGUUAAUCCGCGUAGAGUUAGUCGGCACCUAAGGCGAGGGCGAAAGCCGUAGUCGAUGGAAACAAGGUUAAUAUUCCUUGACCUGAUGGUAGUGACGGAUUUCGUAAGUUGUGAGUUCUUAAUGGAUUGAACUUGCCGCGAAGAGGUCCCAAGAAAUAGCUCCAUCAUGAAGACCGUACCCGAAACCGACACAGGUAGAUUAAUAGAGUAUAUUUAGGCGCUUGAGAGAAUGAUGUUGAAGGAACUCGGCAAAAUGCUUCCGUAACUUCGGGAUAAGGAAGACCCUUUUGUAGGCAACUAUGGAAGGGUGGCACAAGCCAGGGAGAAGCGACUGUUUAUCAAAAACACAGGGCUCUGCUAACACGUAAGUGGAUGUAUAGGGUCUGACGCCUGCCCGGUGCUGGAAGGUUAAUGCGGUUGGUGCAAGCUAACUUCUGAAGCCCCAGUAAACGGCGGCCGUAACUAUAACGGUCCUAAGGUAGCGAAAUUCCUUGUCGGG